AAAUUAGGGAAAAAAAAGCAAACAGAGAGAGAGAAAUAUAAAUGAGAAAAUUUGAUUACUUCAAACAAGUUGAAGGUGAGGUUAUCGACAUCCAUGUAAUGUGCAGGAAAAAGGUCUGAAAAAAGGUUGAAACGAACAGAUGUUUAAAUAAAUCAUUGAAGAUUCAUAAAUUUUACGUGAAGUUUACCAUAAGACAGUUUCUACCACAUUCAACCUUUGCAAGGUUAGAAUUGACACCAUAUUCUCGAUAGAUCAAAUUGUCGAGUUGUUCAAUCAUACUUACCAUUUUUUCAGGUAGAAUGCUUCUCAACUUUCCAUUCAUGAAUAUCCUUUCUCUUUUUUAUUGUUUUAACAUCGAAUCAUGUCAUUUAUUUUCUUGCAGGUCAAAUUUCGCCUUAAAAUUGCGAAUAUUUCUUCUUAAUCAAGGAGAAACUACGAGGAUCGGACUAAAAAUACAAAUUUUUAAAACCGAAGAAGAUAAUCAACUAGAGAUAUUAGUGUACCAUUCGAUCUCUUUAUUAGCCAGCUGUAAUGUUUGAGUAUAAUAUUUACUGAACAUGGUUUAUACUCUAACUUUCGGUAACUUCGGUAUACGCUGACUGCUGUAGUUUUGUGAUAAGGAUUCGUGAAUGAUAAAUGAACAGGUAUUGUAACAUUUUUAUAAAGAUCAAAGGCCAACCUAUAAGUAACAUAUCGAUAUGUAAUUAUAAAAUAAAAUAUAUUAUAAAAUAUACUUUUAUUUUUUAAGCUUAUAACACUUUCUUAUUCUUUCUCUUCUUUUUUUUCUUUUUCUAAAUUUUACCUUAUUUUCAUUGUUUCUUCUGUAACGCUAUGAACAGCGUAAAGCACUCCUCCAGCAAUGAACAUUUCUCCAAAUUUAUGAUUAUCUAUACUAAUGUUCCAUGCAUGUUGAAUAUUCAUAUUAGUCGCAUCCAUCUUUAUUACUAUUGUAUUAUUCGAUGGUAAGCCGUAUAUUAUCCAUAACCCUGUUGUUAAAAUAAUGUACGUCUUAUUUGCUAUUUUUAUUUAAAGAGAAAUAUUUCUUUUAAACAAAUUACGAUAUAAUUACCAUUCUCAUCAACAUUGAAGUCAACAUAAUUAAAAUUAUGAUUCGGUGUAUAUAAAUAAUUCCUCGUGUUCACUAAUAAACCUGGAAGAUGUAAUUCACACCGCGAAGACUCCUUGCCACAUACUUGAUCAGAAAUAGAAUGAAGAUUAAAUCGAAAAAUUGAUGAUCGGUUUAUGGGAUUAUAAAAGAAAGAUUUGUUAUACACUACAUGCCCAUUUCCCUAAAAAUGAAUUUAACAUGAGAUAAUAAUACAUAAUUUUAAAAAUAGUAUGAUAUACCUGAAAUGGAUAUGGCAAUUUAAUGGGAUAUGAACUCCCAUGUUUAAAAUGAUCCUUUGAAUCAUAUUCAAAUAUGAAAGAAGUUUCAUUCUUUCGGGUAACCCAAAGUUUCUCUGGAUAACCAUCAGAUUUAGUGUCAUGCAUCCAGCUUCCGUAAUGAUCAUCCAUAGUACCCUUUAAAACUGGUUUUCCUACUGCUUCUAUUACACCAUCUACAGAAUUAAAUAAAAUUAAUAUCUCGUUAAUUU
rnacentral:misc_RNA from 1 species